UUUCACAUUAGUGUCGUCGUUAUUGUUCACUUUUAAUAAGUUCAUAAUAUUCCACCAAACUCACACCAAAACCUAAGUAUAUUUUUCUCUGAUUCAAGAUAUGGCGGCGAGUGGAAAUCAAAGCCCAAAUUCUUGCCCACCUUUCUAUCGACUAAACCGUCUUUCAUUCAUAUCGAUCUUCAACGAGAAACAACUUCAACCUCUGGCCAUUGUUUUGGUGGUGUAAUUGGCAAAGGAGACGAUGUUGGUGGUAGAAUCGAAAUGGGUAGAUGCUUAAUUGGUGGUGGAUCAUGUACUAGAUGGCGUUUUUGGUGGUGGAAUUGGAAUGUGUUGCGAUGUAAUCGGAAGGCUUGGUGGUAGAUCUUCUCAAUCAGGUCGUUGAUAUUCUGGCGAGGGAGUAGGUGAUUCGGCAAUGGUAUUACUGCUGCUUCAGGUAUAUCAGCUGAACUAGGAAUUUCGUUGAGGCAUCGCAACUAGUGUUAGAUAUCUCACCAGUCACCGGACACUCAAGGAAUGGGGGAACUGAUCUGUUGUAUGUAGCAGAGAAUGUUGUUGACCCUGAAUGUACCCUAGUUGUAUAUAUGGGUUUGGCAACACUUCCUGCUUGUCCAGAAAUUGGCACAACAUGGCCUGCCUAAUGAUACUCAUGUUGUUGCAGUGGAAAGAGGGACAACUGCUCAACAACAUUUGGUAAGGAAUACCUGACCUUUCCUUCAUUCUAUUUUGUUUAACUUUCCUGCAUAAUGCCUAGGCUGUUCUAUAAGUUUUAUACUGGCUGCAUUAGCAUUUCAUAAUUUGUGGUGUAGAUUGGUAGGGAUUUUUUUAUUUCAAGGCGAACACAUUUGUUAUCUUUCUAUGAUUUCUGCACCUCCUCCAUUAUAACCAGCAAGUAAAUAAAAAAGAAAAGGGGUGCGAUCUGAUGUAGAAGAUCUUCUAUAUCAGAUCACACCCCAUUUAUCAGUUAUUUCCCGGUCAUUAUAUGAUAUCACAAGGGUCCCUUUGGUGGAAGGAAAUGGAAAGGUUUUGGCUGAAGAAUUGGAUGGUUCUAGAUGGAUCUAUGAAACUUACAAGCAGGAUUUGCUUCUUUUUAAUAGUUGUAAUUAUAGUUUUGGAGCUCAUGAUGAAAAAGAAGUGGUUAAAAGUACUGAAGAACCUAGUAUUUAACCUAAGAGUCAUUCGUCGGAAGAAUAGGCUUGUCACUACUCUUUCUUGUAGGGAAUGUGGAAAGUCGUGCCUAAUAUAUUUUCUUUCAUUAUAGAAGUUACAACUUUGUUCUUUUCACCUUGCAAAAUUCGCGAAAAAUAUGUUUCCAAGUUAAAAUUCAGUUGAUCACAACGAAAACUAGAUGUGAUAAAUACAGAUAAGUUAAUUUCAAAUGAAAAGAAUGAAUUUUUAGUAAUCAGAGUGGAAGUCUUCUUAAGCUAGCUCAACUUAGUACAAAAUUUGACUAUGCUCUAGAUUCCAUAUACACUUUUCCUGUAAUUUUCCGGACAGGUUUUGAAGAGAGUAAAGAGUUUCCUAUCGUCUGGCACACAGUCGUUGCGGGGCGAUAUUGCAUUACUAAGUACUUGGGUUCUGCGGCUUUCAGGAAAGUUGUUUAGGCUCAUGAUAUCCAGACUGGAGUUUAUGCUUGCUAAAAGUCAUUAAAAAUGACGGAUUUUAUUUGUAAAAGUUUGGAUGAAAUCGAACUUCUCAAGUAUGUCAACAAGAAUGAUCCUGCGGAUAAGCACCACAUUUUACAUCUCUAGCUGUGACUACUUUUACCAUCAGAUAAGAAAGUUCCACUAGAAAGCUAAUUUCUAAGCAAAAGCGCAUGGCUGGUGGAGAUCUAAGAGAGUUGGAGUUCCUCACAUUCUCAUCCAGCAGUUAGUACGUGCUGUUUUUGUAUUCUUCAUAUCUAGAUUUGGUGCUGCAAUUGCUUCACGUUUACAACAAUCUGAGAAACUUACAAAAUGGGUUACGGAGCAAGCUCCUGAGCUAGAUGACGUGUAGUGGCCAUUUCCCAAGCAACGUUCUUGCAAAGAUGGAUGUCUAGAGUGGUGAUAAUAGUCGCAAGCACACUUCUGAUUGUUCUAUUUCUUAUACCAGUUGUGCUUGUGCAAGUCUUGCCAAUCUGUCCCAACUGGAAGUCUGGUUCCCCUUCCUGGCAAGCAUUUUAACCGCAUUUUAAGAUUUGGAGAGAAGAAAUCAAGGAGGAAGAAGGUUUAUUGAAGUAUGCAUGGAAGGAGGCUACCUUGAAGAUCAGCACUCAAGCUUUUGUCAGACUACAGUUUUUGCAUAUAGUUUUGUGUCGAUCAACUAGUUACAUUUUUAUUUUGUUCUUUUAGAUUGAACAAGAAUUACUUAUCUUUUAGCUUUUUUAGAAUUUAAAGACAAGGGGAUGUGAUUUUUGAUAACAUAACUUGAAAUUCUAUUGUAAAAAAUAUUUUGAGUAAUGAAAUUUUAAUUUGUUUAA